AAAUCUUGCUAGUCAUGUGAUAAAAUAAUUUCCAUGAGUUGAACAAUAAUCAAAAUCAUAAAUUAAAAUAUAAUGACAGAAUCUAGAGAUAUUUUUUUUCUCAAAACGGAACUGGCCAAAAUGGAUAAUGAGAAUGGUGAACUUAUUCAACAUCCAUUACGACCAUCAAAAAUGAAACUAAAUCCUGAAAAGUCUGGAAAGAUAAAACUUAUUCCUCUACACAAAAUUAAAGAAGCUUCAAUUAAAUAUAAACAUUUGUUACCCAAACAAAAUAAUGUGAUCUCUUUGGACUAUGAGUCAUUAAUUCAGAUUGUUCUGAAAAUUUUUAAGAACUCUAACUUAUUUACCGAUAAUAAUAAAAUGGAACAUAUUAAAACUGAGCAAAUGACAGAUUCAAACCUCUCACAGAACUCCAAUAAUGAUAAAUUAAAUGAGCUAUUAUUUAAACUUAAUAUAAUAUUGCCUGCAAUUGUAAAGAUACUACAUCAAUCACAUAUAAAUAUUAACCACACUAGAUCAGAUAAUUUUCCCAACAUUAACUCAGAAAAAUAUCCUACAAACAUUAAAGAAUAUGAGCCAUUUCUUAUAGAAGAUUUAAAACACAAAACUUGUGAAUCACAGAAUCCUUCAACAAAAGAACAACAAUUUAGUGCUUCGAUUCUAUCUACUCAAAUGACUAAGGCACUACUUUCCACCCUUUCUCCGAAUAAUAAAGAACAUAUGAUAUCAUGUUUGCUUUCUUCAAAACAAAUUAAUAAAACUAUUGUAAAUAAAAAUAAUUUCCGAGUCAACCCCCAAAAUACCACUGAUAUCAAAAAAGAUUUUAAAAUGAAACCUAUCUGUUUCAAGGAUACAAUGGAAGAUUUAAAUGAAACUAAAGGAGAAAGACCAUAUGCCUGCAGUUGGCCUGAUUGCGUUUGGAGGUUUCCAAGGCUGGACGAGUUGAACCGUCAUUUUAGAACUCACACUGGGGAACGACCUUUUAAAUGCCACAUUUGUGAAAAACGUUUUACCCGAGCUGAUCAUAUGAGGUGCCAUAUUAAAAGGCACGAUGAAAACUUCAAAGGUGAAAAAUUUAUUGGAUGAUAUGUUCUUGAAAGCUAACGAUGAUGACAAAAAUUCAGACCACCCCAGGCGUAAAACGAUUCUUAUAUGACUCAGAAGCUAACGUUGAUGACGAAAAUUCAAACCAACCCCAGGCGAAAAGCGAUUCUUAUAUAACUAGAUUAAAAUGCCGAUGACGAUGAUAGUGCUAAAAGAUAUUUAUGCCACUUAUUGACAUACAAACAAGAUCGAUAAACUACAAAUUAACCCGACGACUAAUUCGCGAUAACAAACCACGACGAAAUUUAUUUGCUAUAAGAAAUCGACGAUCGCAAAAAAUAAAUGUAGGAUUUCUCAGAGAGGGGAAUGUUGUAGACGUGAAAUAAAAUGUAAAAUAAAAUAAUAGAUUAAUAAAAUAAAAUUAAAAUAAUUAUAAUAUUUGAGUAACCUUUUAAAAAAUAUAUCGCGAUUUCUACUUAUGACCUUUUAAAAAUAUAUCGCGAUUUCUACAUAAACU